rnacentral:rRNA from 1 species
AUUGAACGCUGGCGGCAUGCUUUACACAUGCAAGUCGAACGGCAGCGCGGGCUUCGGCCUGGCGGCGAGUGGCGAACGGGUGAGUAAUGCAUCGGAACGUGCCCAGUAGUGGGGGAUAGCCCGGCGAAAGCCGGAUUAAUACCGCAUACGACCUGAGGGUGAAAGCGGGGGACCGAAAGGCCUCGCGCUAUUGGAGCGGCCGAUGUCGGAUUAGCUAGUUGGUGGGGUAAAGGCUUACCAAGGCGACGAUCCGUAGCUGGUCUGAGAGGACGACCAGCCACACUGGGACUGAGACACGGCCCAGACUCCUACGGGAGGCAGCAGUGGGGAAUUUUGGACAAUGGGGGCAACCCUGAUCCAGCCAUGCCGCGUGCGGGAAGAAGGCCUUCGGGUUGUAAACCGCUUUUGUUCGGGAAGAAAUCCUCUGGGCUAAUACCCCGGGGGGAUGACGGUACCGGAAGAAUAAGCACCGGCUAACUAUGUG